rnacentral:rRNA from 1 species
GUGGCGAACGGGUGAGUAACACGUGGGUAAUCUGCCCUGUACUCCGGGAUAAGCCUGGGAAACUGGGUCUAAUACCGGAUACGCCCUUCGGGGGAAAGAUUUAUCGCCGAAAGAUCGGCCCGCGUCUGAUUAGCUAGUUGGUGAGGUAAUGGCUCACCAAGGCGACGAUCAGUAGCUGGUCUGAGAGGAUGAUCAGCCACAUUGGGACUGAGACACGGCCCAGACUCCUACGGGAGGCAGCAGUGGGGAAUAUUGCACAAUGGGCGCAAGCCUGAUGCAGCGACGCCGCGUGAGGGAUGACGGCCUUCGGGUUGUAAACCUCUUUCGCCAGGGACGAAGCGCGAGUGACGGUACCUGGAUAAGAAGCACCGGCUAACUACGUGCCAGCAGCCGCGGUAAUACGUAGGGUGCGAGCGUUGUCCGGAAUUAUUGGGCGUAAAGAGCUCGUAGGCGGUUUGUCGCGUCGGCUGUGAAAUCUGGAGGCUU